AUUGGCCAUACCACCCUGAACACGCCUGAUCUCGGAAGCUAAGCAGGGUCAGGUCUGGUUAGUACUUGGAUGGGAGAACAAUUAUUUUUUAAAAGAUGCCUUGUAUA
ensembl:rRNA 5S_rRNA 5S ribosomal RNA